rnacentral:rRNA from 4 species
GUAGGUGAACCUGCUGCUGGAUCAUUACA